AUGGGCUCCAGGCUCCUGUGCUGUGUGACCCUUUGUCUCUUGGGAGCAGGCCCAGUGGAUCCCGGAGUACCUCAAAUACCAAGACACCUGAUUAAAACAAGAGGACAGCAAAUGACAAUGAGAUGUUCACCCAUCUCUGGGCACAACAGUAUAUCUUGGUACCAACAGGCCCUGGGCCAGGGCCCCCAGUUCCUCGUUCAGUAUUACGAUGGGGAAGAGAAUGAUAAAAGAAAUAUCCCGGAUCGAUUCUCAGGGCAACAGUUCAGUAACUAUAGCUCUGAGCUGAACAUCCAGCCUGCAGAGCUAGAGGACUCUGGAGUUUAUUUCUGUGCCAGCAGCCAAGACACAGGACUCAGCAACGAGCCACUGCACUUUGGAGAGGGGACUCGACUCUCUGUCCUAGAGGACCUGAAGGAGGUGUUCCCACCCAAGGUGACUGUGUUUGAACCAUCGGAAGCAGAGAUCAGCCGGACCGAGAAGGCCACGCUCGUGUGCCUGGCCACAGACUUCUACCCUGACCACGUGGAGCUGAGCUGGUGGGUGAACGGGAAGGAGGUCCAGACUGGGGUCAGCACAGACCCUCAGCCCUACAAGGAGCAGCCCACCCAGAAAAACUCCAACUACUCUCUGAGCAGCCGGCUGAGGGUCUCUGCUGCCUUCUGGCACAACCCCCGCAACCACUUCCGCUGCCAAGUCCAGUUCUUCGGGCUCACGGACGGGGACAACUGGACACUGACUAGGGCAAAACCCAUCACCCAGAACAUCAGUGCUGAGGCCUCGGGCAGAGCAGAAUGUGGCGUCAGCUCAGUGUCCUAUCAGCAAGGGGUCCUGUCUGCCACCAUCCUCUAUGAGAUCCUGCUGGGGAAGGCCACCCUGUAUGCUGUGCUGGUCAGUGCCCUCGUGCUGAUGGCCAGGGUCAAGAGAAAGGAUUCCUGAAGCCAGCUCAAAGGUGGAGCCAGAAGCUUCAGCCUGUUAUUGCUCCAACAUGGAUUCUCCUUUUUCCAUUCCUAGCCAGUGCCUCUGAAGAGCUAUUCUAGUCUCUCUACUCAUCCCAAUAGCUACCCCCUUAUGUGCUUGCACACCUAGACACUCAUGACCGAAACCUCCCCGACCCAAGGGGGACCCUAGUUUGCGUAUAUUGACUGAACCAAUAAAAAUGGCUUCUUCUGGCUUGA